rnacentral:rRNA from 1 species
GAUGAACGCUGGCGGCGUGCAUAACACAUUCAAGUCGAACGGACGACCCGGAGCUUGCUCCGGGAAGUUAGUGGCGGACGGGUGAGUAACGCGUGAGCAACCUGCCUGUGUGAGCGGAAUAACGUCCGGAAACAGACGCUAAUACCGCAUGACUCACGGACUUCGCAUGGAGACCGUGGCAAAGAUUUAUCGCACACAGAUGGGCUCGCGUCCGAUUAGGCAGUUGGUGAGGUAACGGCUCACCAAACCGACGAUCGGUAGCCGGACUGAGAGGUUGAACGGCCACAUUGGAACUGAGAAACGGUCCAGACUCCUACGGGAGGCAGCAGUGGGGAAUAUUGGGCAAUGGGGAAACCCUGACCCAGCGACGCCGCGUGAGGGAAGACGGUCUUCGGAUUGUAAACCUCUUUCAGCAGGGAAGAAGAAGUGACGGUACCUGCAGAGAAGCCACGGCUAACUACGUGCCAGCAGCCGCGGUAAUGUCGUACGA